rnacentral:misc_RNA from 1 species
GGUUGUGCUAAUUACUUCUUUGAAAGUUCCAUGUUUAUGGUAUUUACGUCCUUAGAACCCCCAGUACACCCCAUUUAUAGCAUUUGACUUUUUACCAUAUAAGUAUGAGCUAGUCACAACCUUGAUUGUGAACGUUCUUGGCAUUGUAUUGGUAACAUUUACUAUAGCUAACCAUUGGCUCUGUGCUGUCGCGUCUAAUUUGUAGCAAAU